AUCGAUUCUCUGAUGAUCCUCUUCCUUUUUCCUUUCUUGCGCCAGCCGACCAUUGUCGCCGGCGAUGCCUUGGCAAAUAUAUCGCCUUGGGCCGCCGUCACAGGAGUCGACCGCUUGGUGGCCUCCACCCCCUUAAUCCAAGAAGAAAAGAGGAGAGAUGAAAGACUCUCUCUUCUUCCUUUCUCCUCUCUCCUCUCUCUACUUUCUCUCUCUAGAAGAUCAAAGGAACCCGAUGUCAGGUUCUGUCGAUCUGAUCUACAAACUUGAGUUGAUCUCCGAAAAGAGGCCCUAAACUGACCUGUGCACAAGUCGCCUACUGGAUCGAUCACCCAGCCUUGUCAAGUGUCUAUAGAACCCACUAAUGAUGAGUUAUGUUAAACGACUUUGGCUCUAAUUGACUCCAUGCCCUAUGAUUUAUUGAUCGAAUCGCUCAGACCUGACCUACUCAGAAUCAUCAAAUGCUAUCAUCCGACUAACCAUCCAUAUUUCUUAUUAUUCGAUUAAAAACAUCAAACAGAAAUUAAUUUCACUUUUAAUGUUUUUAAUAGGGUUAACUAAAUUGUCGAGUAAAGUUUGAUAGUCUAAGAUGAAAUAGGUAAGUAAAUGUUUCACUCAUUAUUUUUCAAAUGAUCAUAUUUUUCGUACAUAAAAUUUGCUUGUGGAAAUAUUAUACUUUUCUUAAUUUUAUGAAUCAGCAUAUGUGUUAUAAAAAUUAUGCUUUAAUAUAAAAAUAUUUUGAUGAAUAUAGCUUUGUUAUAAAAUAUGAAUCCAAUCAUAUCAUUUAGUGUAAGAGCCACAUUUUUGAGCCAGCCCGGCCCGCUAACCACAGCACCGGCCCGACUCAUGUGAAGGGGAGGGAGACUCCCGAACGGGGUCUUCUCCCUCCC
rnacentral:lncRNA from 1 species